rnacentral:lncRNA from 1 species
GGCCACGCUAUAUUAGACUAGAUUGAUCAUAAUUUUCAUGUAGUGAUGAUUAUGCAAAUUCCAUAACUACUAGUUUGCCUCUUGCAGUUAAUCCUCCAACUCCUACAUCUCCGAAUCCUCCCGCCACCGCACCAACACCAACUACAGAAACGACUCCAGCACCGACAGCCCACUCCGUUCCUAUUGGAGGACCAGCUCCAUCUCCGACACUAGCAAGCUCUGAAAGUUAUAACAUAUGUGCUACAACAUUAUCAACCCUUUUUAUUGUAGCUCUUUUUGUCUCGUUUUUUAAUGUGUUGAUCUAAGCUUUAGUGUUUAGCUCUCGAUUAUUUUUUCAGUUGAUUUUCCUAUUCUAGUAUUUCUGUUAGGUUCUUGAAAACCUUAAUUUUUGUUUUGGCUAGUUAAGAAUAAUGUUGAGUUUGUUUAGUAUUAGUUUCUUUUUAUGAUUUUUAUAUGGAUUAACAAUUUUUAUGUAAUAAUAAAAUUAUUUCUCUG